rnacentral:rRNA from 1 species
AGAGCGAACGCUGGCGGCGUGCUUAACACAUGCAAGUCGAGUGCGCGCCUGUAGCAAUACAGGUGGCGCACGGCGCACGGGUGCGUAACACGUGGGCAAUCUGCCCUCGGAUGGGGGAUAACUCGUCGAAAGGCGAGCUAAUACCGCAUGACAUUCCUGGGACUCCGGUCCCGGGACUCAAAGGCCGCAAGGCCGUCUGAGGAGGAGCCCGCGCCCGAUUAGCUAGUUGGUGAGGUAACGGCUCACCAAGGCAAUGAUCGGUA